GCCCUGGUGGCACAACAGUUACGUGCUUGACUGCUAACCAAAAGAUUGGUGGUUCAAACCCACCCAGUGGCU
rnacentral:tRNA from 1 species